GCUCCCUUAGCUCAGCUGGUAGAGCAAUGGACUGUUAAUCCAUGUGUCGCAGGUUCAAAACCUGCAGGGGGCG
rfam:Treponema socranskii subsp. socranskii VPI DR56BR1116 = ATCC 35536 strain VPI DR56BR1116 ctg120007787857, whole genome shotgun sequence.